ACAGGCAUAGCCAAGCGGUAAGGCGGGGGCCUUUGAAGCCUUAAUGCGAAAGUUCGAAUCUUUCUGCCUGUGCCA
rnacentral:tRNA from 1 species